UAUCGUUUAUUUGAUAGUACCUUCCCAUAAAGAUACCUGUGGUAAUUCUAGAGCUAAUACAUGCUACCUUCCCCGACUUCAGGAAGGGGUGUAUUUAUUAGAUAAAAAACCAACGCCCUUCGGGGCUCCUUGGUGAAUCAUAAUAACUUAACGAAUCGCAUGGCCUUGCGCCGGCGAUGGUUCAUUCAAAUUUCUGCCCUAUCAACUUUCGAUGGUAGGAUAGUGGCCUACCAUGGUGGCAACGGGUAACGGGGAAUUAGGGUUCGAUUCCGGAGAGGGAGCCUGAGAAACGGCUACCACA
rnacentral:rRNA from 1 species